rnacentral:rRNA from 1 species
GGGGCUGAAGUAGGUCCCAAGGGUAUGGCUGUUCGCCAUUUAAAGUGGUACGCGAGCUGGGUUUAGAACGUCGUGAGACAGUUCGGUCCCUAUCUGCCGUGGGCGCUGGAGAAUUGAGGGGGGCUGCUCCUAGUACGAGAGGACCGGAGUGGACGCAUCACUGGUGUUCGGGUUGUCAUGCCAAUGGCACUGCCCGGUAGCUAAAUGCGGAAGAGAUAAGUGCUGAAAGCAUCUAAGCACGAAACUUGCCCCGAGAUGAGUUCUCCCUGAGACUUUAAGUCUCCUGAAGGAACGUUAAAGACGAUGACGUUGAUAGGCCGGGUGUGUAAGCGCAGCGAUGCGUUGAGCUAACCGGUACUAAUGAACCGUGAGGCUUAACCUUACAACGCCGAAG